rnacentral:tRNA from 1 species
CCUUUUAAAGCUAUUAAUACCUCUCUUUAUUUAUGUGAUAAUAAAUUUCAUACUGAUG